UAGUAAAAUACAUUAUGUCAUACAUUCCAAACAAUUAGUUACCUGUAUCUGUUAAGAUGACAUUAUAUUCCAUGGCUAAUUUUGUGUUGAACAAUAUGGAGCAUGAGAAUGAUAACAAUAAAUAACAAUAAGAAUGAUCUAUGUCAAAUAACGACAGUAUACUAAAGCAUCCAUAAUUUGUUAAACGGUAUGGAAUGCGAACUUGCAUGAAAUGGUGACAGAGUAUCACCACCUUCUAUCAGAUGGUAAAUUUUUGUGUUUGCGCAACACACUAGCACCUACACAUCACACUAUGUAUCACAUUUUUUCAACAGUAUGGCAUACAGUUUGGCACAUUUGUAUUUGUAAGCAACAAAAAAGCACCGCGUUCGCUGCCAGCAGCGCUUGUAUUUUUUUUUUCAUUCCUCGGAAUUGCAGAUCUUUGUCAUUUUGCGGAUCCUUCCCGGCAAUCUAUUCCAGCGCCUAAGGCCGACAAGCUGAUCAAAAAACUCCCCACCGUGACUUCGAUGAGGAUGGAAUCGUAGAUGGAAACUUUCGCGAAAUCAAAGUUCGGAAUGAAUUUGAUAAGCACCCGCUGGAGGAAUUCCGGAUCCGGCACAUUACAAGGUCAUGCAUUCCGGUUGCUCGCAUAGGUAGGACACCAGCGGGUUUUGUCUUCAUGAGUGGUUCACCGGAUCUGAACGGGCUAGGCAGCACAAUCAGCCAGGGAAUGCAGAAGAAGUGCACGUCGGCAGAGCCUCCGGUAGAGCAGUCAAAAAGCAAAUGCAAGAAAUCCGUGGAAACUGGGUAAGAUGCUUAUGCUCCGGAAGAUCCCGCCCCUCUCGAUGUUUGCUGCAGCAUGGAAUAGAAGUUUACGUGGCCUAAGUGUUCUAUAAUGAUAAUCCAUUUUUUCAUGUGAUGUUGUAACAAAUAAAUUAAUACUAUAUAAAACGUA